CCUACGGGCGGCAGCAGUGAGGAAUAUUGGUCAAUGGGCGGAAGCCUGAACCAGCCAAGUAGCGUGCAGGAUGACGGCCCUACGGGUUGUAAACUGCUUUUAUACGGGAAUAACGCGCCUUACGUGUAGGUCUUUGCAUGUACCGUAUGAAUAAGGACCGGCUAAUUCCGUGCCAGCAGCCGCGGUAAUACGGAAGGUCCGGGCGUUAUCCGGAUUUAUUGGGUUUAAAGGGAGCGUAGGCGGCAUGGCAAGCGUGCUGUGAAAUGUACGGGCUCAACCCGGGCCGUGCAGCGAGAACUGGGGUGUUGGAGGCCGCGGAGAGCAGGCGGAAUUCGUGGGGUAGCGGUGAAAUGCGU
rnacentral:rRNA from 1 species